GAAGAGAAACACUGGGAGGAAACUGCUGAACAGACAGUGGCAACACAGAAGGCUAGGAGGUUUCUCCUCUGACAUGUCUGCCAGAGAAAGUGGAGAUCUGACUGCAAGCCUGGACACCUUUACAUCCCAAAGCAGGAAGAGGAAGGGAGACCUUGACCAGAACCACAACAGAAACCUGAAUCCCAGGCACAUUAGGAGAGAAUAUCUUGCACAGCUCAACCACUGACAUCUGCAAUACACUGUCCACUUGAGCAAAACCAGGAAAUGGCCUUCUGCACUUCCUGCCAAGGACUGGCAUUGAGGCACUUGGCACAGGGACACACGAGGCAGCAAGUUCCAUAUCUCAGACUGCCUGAAAGUAGGUUUUCCCAAUUACCAACCUGCAAUUCACUAAUC